GACGUAGGGGGCAAGCGUUGUCCGGAAUCAUUGGGCGUAAAGCGCGUGUAGGCGGUCCGGUAAGUCGGCUGUGAAAGUCCAGGGCUCAACCCUGGGAUGCCGGUCGAUACUGCCGGACUAGAGUUCGGAAGAGGCGAGUGGAAUUCCCGGUGUAGCGGUGAAAUGCGCAGAUAUCGGGAGGAACACCAAUGGCGAAGGCAGCUCGCUGGGACGUUACUGACGCUGAGACGCGAAAGCGUGGGGAGCAAACAGG
rnacentral:rRNA from 1 species